rnacentral:rRNA from 1 species
CGGAGGGAUCAUUACCGAGUUUACAACUCCCAAACCCAAUGUGAACGUUACCAAACUGUUGCCUCGGCGGGAUCUCUGCCCCGGGUGCGUCGCAGCCCCGGACCAAGGCGCCCGCCGGAGGACCAACCAAAACUCUUUUUGUAUACCCCCUCGCGGGUUUUUUAUAAUCUGAGCCUUCUCGGCGCCUCUCGUAGGCGUUUCGAAAAUGAAUCAAAACUUUCAACAACGGAUCUCUUGGUUCUGGCAUCGAUGAAGAACGCAGCGAAAUGCGAUAAGUAAUGUGAAUUGCAGAAUUCAGUGAAUCAUCGAAUCUUUGAACGCACAUUGCGCCCGCCAGUAUUCUGGCGGGCAUGCCUGUCCGAGCGUCAUUUCAACCCUCGAACCCCUCCGGGGGGUCGGCGUUGGGGAUCGGCCCUCCCUUAGCGGGUGGCCGUCUCCGAAAUACAGUGGCGGUCUCGCCGCAGCCUCUCCUGCGCAGUAGUUUGCACACUCGCAUCGGGAGCGCGGCGCGUCCACAGCCGUUAAACACCCAACUUCUGAAAUGUUGACCUCGGAUCAGGUAGGAAUACCCGCUGAACUUAAGCAU